CAAUAGCGUAUAUUUAAGUUGCUGCAGUUAAAAAGCUCGUAGUUGGAUUUCGGGUGGGAAUGGCCGGUCCGCCGUUUCGGUGUGCACUUGCUACGCCCACCUUGCUGCCGGGGACGUGCUCUUGAGUUCACGCUCGGGACACGGAGUCGGCGAGGUUACUUUUAGUAAAUUAGAGUGUUCAAAGCAGGCCUACGCUCUGAAUACAUUAGCAUGGAAUAACACGAUAGGACUCUGGCCUAUCUUGUUGGUCUGUAGGACCGGAGUAAUGAUUAAGAGGGACAGUCGGGGGCAUUCGUAUUUCAUUGUCAGAGGUGAAAUUCUUGGAUUUAUGAAAGACGAACUACUGCGAAAGCAUUUGCCAAGGAUGUUUUCAUUAA
rnacentral:rRNA from 1 species